UACAGAGGUCCCAAGCGUUGUUUCGGAUUCACUGGGCGUAAAGGGUGCGUAGGCGGUCGGGUAAGUCUGAUGUGAAAUCUCCAAGCCUAACUUGGAAACUGCAUUGGAUACUAUCGGCUAGAGGAAUGGAGGGGAGACUGGAAUACUUGGUGUAGCAGUGAAAUGCGUAGAUAUCAAGUGGAACACCAGUGGCGAAGGCGAGUCUCUGGACAUUUCCUGACGCUGAGGCACGAAAGCCAGGGGAGCAAACGGG
rnacentral:rRNA from 1 species